rnacentral:rRNA from 1 species
UUUAUUUGAUUUCCUUCGGGACUGAUUAUUUUGUGACUGAGUGGCGGACGGGUGAGUAACGCGUGGGUAACCUGCCUUGUACAGGGGGAUAACAGUUGGAAACGGCUGCUAAUACCGCAUAAGCGCACGGCAUCGCAUGAUGCAGUGUGAAAAACUCCGGUGGUAUAAGAUGGACCCGCGUUGGAUUAGCUAGUUGGUGAGGUAACGGCCCACCAAGGCGACGAUCCAUAGCCGACCUGAGAGGGUGACCGGCCACAUUGGGACUGAGACACGGCCCAAACUCCUACGGGAGGCAGCAGUGGGGAAUAUUGCACAAUGGGCGAAAGCCUGAUGCAGCGACGCCGCGUGAGCGAAGAAGUAUUUCGGUAUGUAAAGCUCUAUCAGCAGGGAAGAUAAUGACGGUACCUGACUAAGAAGCACCGGCUAAAUACGUGCCAGCAGCCGCGGUAAUACGUAUGGUGCAAGCGUUAUCCGGAUUUACUGGGUGUAAAGGGAGCGCAGGCGGUGCGGCAAGUCUGAUGUGAAAGCCCGGGGCUCAACCCCGGUACUGCAUUGGAAACUGUCGUACUAGAGUGUCGGAGGGGUAAGCGGAAUUCC